rnacentral:lncRNA from 1 species
GGUCGUCCUCCGGCCCUCACACAGCCGUCGGCUGCAUUCCUCUACUCGAGCUGAUUUGCCUCCCAAGUCUUCACUAGACGAGGUUCUUUUUCCAAUUUCGCUCCUUGGAUCUUCUUUCAUAUCUGCCGCAACGUGCUCCCUGUUUCUGGUUGUCUAGUCUACGGAAUCUUGAUUCCCUAACCUAACCUAGCUUCCAGCGAGAUUUUUGCGUCCUGCUUCGUUCAGGUUUAAUUCGUUUAAUACUCAACGAGACGCGCAUUUUAUUUGGGCCACUACAUAAUGAACUGAACCUUUUCCUUAUUUUUGUUGUUCGGAAUUGCAUAGCCGCUGACAGAAGCGAAAUUGAUAGCGCCCCAAGUGUUCGUUAAAUGCAUCACGAAAUUGCCAAACUCCAUCAGUGAUUAAAUUAUAGGCAAAUGCAGUCAUGUGCUCCAAGUUCUACUUACUAGUUGCUAUGUAUAAUCUAUUAAUCUCCGGCCCUUAGCUUGCAAAAAUAAAAUUGUUAAGUCAUACCCUAGCCUUUUCCAAAGGUUUGUCGGAGUGAGUAUAGCUCUUUUGCUCAGCGGUGUGCAAAGUCUCAAUUCUGAGCAUAUUGGUUGAUUAUUUGUUGAGUAUCGAUUCUAGUGAUGAAGAACUCAAAUUAUCUAGUGGUACCAUUUACUGGGUUACUUAUAAGCUUAUUUUUUCUUUCAAAAUGGAUGUUUAACCCCAGCCUCGGCAUCAUUGCGAUGCACACAACAAUAUUUAUUAAAGAUAAGAUAAAUAGGGUAUAAGUCAUGUCAUCCGGUACAACACAAACACAACCUGAAGAUAAAUGCUACAACAGGCUGAUAAGAGAAAUACAUGCCUACACACAUAGCCCAUUAAUAGAUCGCCAUCCAAAUUGGUUGGGCCCGUGCUACCAUCUCUCAUCGGUUGCACCCAAACUACAUAUGCUCUUGCGCUUCCGCACACUGAAUUAAGGACCACAUACAGAUCCAUCUUGUAACUUGGAAGGUGACCUUCAGAAAAUUCGGUAUAUUCGUUCUAUUAAAACAUGGUCAUUACGGCAUCUCUAUAUUGCCUAGAGAAAAGCGCACCUCCCACAAGGAUGUGUGCCUUACACUUAGGAUGAAUCCCACCCAAUCAGUUCUUGAACAAAUUCAAUAUACUACUAGGUGUAGGUAAGUUGAAAGCUACAUGAUUCGUACGCCAAAGAAGUGAGGCAAAUGGACACAAAAGAAAGAGAUGUUGUUUUGUUCCCUCUUGAUCAGAAAAGCAACAUUUUUAUGCCCCUGCGACAUACAUUUUGCCAAAUUAGGAUUACCCCUCUAUGCAGAAACCACAUGACGAUCUUAAUCUUGAGCGGCACCUUAGGUUUCCAAAUAUGUUGCCUCCAAGGCCCAGUGUUUAUGAGGUCCACAUAUUUUGAUCACACGAGGAAACUCUAGAAGAAUGCUACCGCCAUAAAAAAUAAUCGGGUUCUUUAGUUAAGUUGACCGACAUCAACCAGCGUACUAAAUCAAGCAGAGAAGUCCAUGCUAACACAGCCUGAAGAUAAAUACUACAACCGGCUCAUAAGAGAAAUACAUGCCUACACGAUAAUGGCAGCUACCAAAAAACACCGAACACAAAAUUAUUUAUAAAUAGAUAAUCAGCUUUAAAUGACAAAUAACAUCAAGCAAAAGACACUAGGUUAUUACGAUGAAUCCUUGCUUCAGCUUACCUACCUGUCUUCAGAAGAUUUUAUGUUUCACUGUUGAUCAAACUAUUUCAUUUGUAUUUGUAUAGUUAGAUGCACUGUAUGAGGUGGUUCGAGCAACCAAGGUUUCCUCAUUGAGUAAUGAUAUCCUUACGCGCAUCAUUGAGAGGGUUCGAGCAACCAAGGUUUCCUCAUUGAGUAAUGAUAUCCUUACUCGCAUCAUUGAGAGGUAUAUACAUCUAUAUAAUAUGUGUUCCUCAUAAAACUUAUUUUUCAGUUGUUCCUUUUUUGGGUGAGGAACGCUAAUUAUGGCAUCUUUCCAGCUCUUCAAAUGCUCGUAGGGAGUUUGUCCAGAAGGAAGUGCGGAGGACAUGGAUGAUUUGUGCUGCAACAGUAGGUGGUUUUUUCACUGGAUUAUUAAUAACAAGGAAGAUGGAUAACAAGAGAGAGAGAGAGAGCUCGGGAAUGAAACUUACGAGAACCUCGCGAAGUAGAGAGUUUAUUGAACUUUUGGACCAGGUAUUGUCGUUGCUUCUUCACUUUGCACCAGCUAUAUGAAAACCAAUCGCUUUGCUAUAGUGGAGCCAUUCCAAAUUCACUUUGCAUCAAGUAGGAGGAGGAAAACCAAACAAUUGGGCCAUG